rnacentral:rRNA from 1 species
ACUCCUACGGGAGGCAGCAGUGGGGAAUAUUGCACAAUGGGCGCAAGCCUGAUGCAGCCAUGCCGCGUGUAUGAAGAAGGCCUUCGGGUUGUAAAGUACUUUCAGCAGUGAGGAAGGUGGGUAUGUUAAUAGCAUACUCAUUUGACGUUAGCUGCAGAAGAAGCACCGGCUAACUCCGUGCCAGCAGCCGCGGUAAUACGGAGGGUGCGAGCGUUAAUCGGAAUUACUGGGCGUAAAGCGCAUGCAGGUGGUUUGUUAAGUCAGAUGUGAAAGCCCGGGGCUCAACCUCGGAAUUGCAUUUGAAACUGGCAAACUAGAGUACUGUAGAGGGGGGUAGAAUUUCAGGUGUAGCGGUGAAAUGCGUAGAGAUCUGAAGGAAUACCGGUGGCGAAGGCGGCCCCCUGGACAGAUACUGACACUCAGAUGCGAAAGCGUGGGGAGCAAACAGGAUUAGAUACCCUGGUGGCACUGC